rnacentral:lncRNA from 1 species
AUUUUUUGAAGUAAGAUAUUUAAUAUUUACCUCCUAAUAAAUUUCUUGGGAUUUUUAUUUAUAUAUAAAACUGGAUAAAACAUAAAAAGCAUAAUUGUACUUAUUAAACAAUCAAUUCCCUUUAGUGCUUACAAAAUAUUCCCCCGAAAUUGACAACAACUUUUACUAUAGUUACCAUAGACUUGCUAGAAAAAUAUAUGUUAAAAAAAUUAGGAAUUUCUAAACUGAAGUUUGUUUACCAAAAUUAUCUAAAUUUGUGAAAGAGUUGAAAAUAUUGAAAGAUUUAUUGUUGCAGCAUCAUGUCUCAAAAAACAACACGGUGCGUUAUGCAUGUAAACAGUUGUCUUGGCAAUAAAUUUAUUAAAAAUCAUAUGCCUUGAUUUUAUU